rnacentral:tRNA from 1 species
GGGUGCAUAGCUCAGUGGUAGAGCAUGUGCUUGGCAUGCACAAGGUCCUGGGUUCAAUCCCCAGUGCCUCCA